UACAGAGGAUGCAAGCGUUAUCCGGAAUGAUUGGGCGUAAAGCGUCUGUAGGUGGCUUUUUAAGUCCGCCGUCAAAUCCCAGGGCUCAACUCUGGACAGGCGGUGGAAACUACCAAGCUGGAGUACGGUAGGGGCAGAGGGAAUUUCCGGUGUAGCGGUGAAAUGCGCAGAUAUCGGGAAGAACACCCGUGGCGAAGGCGGCUACUCUGGGACGGUACUGGACGCUGAGACGCGAAAGCGUGGGAGCGAACGAG
rnacentral:rRNA from 1 species